AGCGAACGCUAGCGGCAGGCCUAACACAUGCAAGUCGAACGGACCCUUCGGGGUUAGUAGCGGACGGGUGAGUAACACGUGGGAACGUGCCUUUAGGUUCGGAAUAGCUCCUGGAAACGGGUGGUAAUGCCGAAUGUGCCCUUCGGGGGAAAGAUCUAUCGCCUUUAGAGCGGCCCGCGUCUGAUUAGCUAGUUGGUGAGGUAAUGGCUCACCAAGGCGACGAUCAGUAGCUGGUCUGAGAGGAUGACCAGCCACAUUGGGACUGAGACACGGCCCAAACUCCUACGGGAGGCAGCAGUGGGGAAUCUUGCGCAAUGGGCGAAAGCCUGACGCAGCCAUGCCGCGUGAAUGAUGAAGGUCUUAGGAUUGUAAAAUUCUUUCACCGGGGACGAUAAUGACGGUACCCGGAGAAGAAGCCCCGGCUAACUUCGUGCCAGCCGCCGCUGUAAUAC
rnacentral:rRNA from 1 species